AAAGACUUAGUCCUAACCUUACGAUUGGCUCUCACCAGAUAUAUACAUGCAAGUAUCCGCACUCCAGUGUAAAUGCCCUUAAUUUGCCUACCUUAAUACAGGCCUUAAGGAGCGGGUAUCAGGCACACCCAAGCAGUAGCCCAAGACGCCUUGCACAGCCACACCCCCACGGGUAUUCAGCAGUAAUUAACAUUAAGCAAUGAGCGAAAGCUCGACUUAGUCAUGGUGACUCCCCCAAGGGUCGGUAAAUCUUGUGCCAGCCACCGCGGUCACACAAGAGACCCAAGUCAAUCGUCAAAUUCCGGCGUAAAGAGUGGGAAGAUGCCUAUCCUAUCAAACUAAGACCAAAAUGCAACUAAGCUGUCAUAAGCCAAAGAUGCCCCUAAACACACCAUAAACAUGGUCUUAGGACUUAGCGACCAAUUUGAACCCACGAAAGCCAGGGCACAAACUGGGAUUAGAUACCCCACUAUGCCUGGCCCUAAAUCCUGAUACUUACAGUACCGAAGUAUCCGCCAGAGAACUACGAGCACAAACGCUUAAAACUCUAAGGACUUGGCGGUACCCCAAACCCACCUAGAGGAGCCUGUCCUAUAACCGAUAAUCCACGAUAAACCCAACCGCCCCUUGCUCAGCACAGCCUACAUACCGCCGUCGCCAGCCCACCUCGAAUGAGAGCCCAACAGUGAGCGCAAUAGCACCCCCGCUAACAAGACAGGUCAAGGUAUAGCCCAUGGGACGGAAGAGAUGGGCUACAUUCUCUACGAUAGAGCACUACGAAAAGAAAUGUGAAACCAUUUCUGGAAGGAGGAUUUAGCAGUAAAAUAGAAUAAUAACGCCUAUUUUAAGCCGGCCCUGGGGUACGUACAUACCGCCCGUCACCCUCCUCAAAAGCCACGAUCUUACAUAACUAAUACCGCUCCAGUGCUAAAGAUGAGGUAAGUCGUAACAAGGUAAGUGUACCGGAAGGUGUACUUAGAAUAU
rnacentral:ncRNA from 1 species